AUUCGGGUUGAUAACUAGGCGACGAUCUCAAUCAUUAAAACCACUCUACGACGUCCGCCCUUUAAAUGCCCGAUAGAUAAAAAAAAAAUUUGGCGUUGAUCUUACAAGUUUUCUGUCUAUAUUUUUUAAUACUGUGGUUGGUAACAUUUAAUUCAUCGCCACAUUA
rnacentral:snoRNA from 1 species